rnacentral:rRNA from 1 species
CAUAUGGAUUCCUACGGGAGGCAGCAGUGAGGAAUAUUGGACAAUGGAUGGAAAUCUGAUCCAGCCAUGCCGCGUGCAGGAAGACGGCCCUAUGGGUUGUAAACUGCUUUUGUAUGGGAGCAAUAAGGUCUAUGCGUAGACUGAUGAGAGUACCAUACGAAUAAGCAUCGGCUAACUCCGUGCCAGCAGCCGCGGUAAUACGGGGGAUGCAAGCGUUAUCCGGAUUUAUUGGGUUUAAAGGGUGCGUAGGCGGUUUGAUAAGUCAGCGGUGAAAUAUUUCAGCUUAACUGAAAGGGUGCCGUUGAUACUGUCAGGCUUGAAUAUGGUUGCUGUGGGUGGAAUGUGUGGUGUAGCGGUGAAAUGCUUAGAUAUCACACAGAAUAUCGAUUGCGAAGGCAGCUCACAAAGCCAUUAUUGACGCUGAUGCACGAAAGUGUGGGGAUCAAACAGGAUUAGAUACCCUGGUAGUCCACACUGUAAACGAUGAUAACUCGCUGUCGGCGAUACACAGUCGGUAGCCAAGCGAAAGCGAUAAGUUAUCCACCUGGGGAGUACGACCGCAAGGUUGAAACUCAAAGGAAUUGACGGGGGCCCGCACAAGCGGAGGAACAUGUGGUUUAACUCGAUGAUACGCGAGGAACCUUACCCGGGCUCGAACGGUGCAGGAAUACGUCAGAGAUGAUGUAGCUAGCAAUAGUCUGUAUCGAGGUGCUGCAUGGUUGUCGUCAGCUCGUGCCGUGAGGUGUCGGCUUAAGUGCCAUAACGAGCGCAACCCUUGUCGUUAGUUGCCAUCAGGUAAUGCUGGGAACUCUAGCGAGACUGCCACCGUAAGGUGUGAGGAAGGGGGGGAUGACGUCAAAUCAGCACGGCCCUUACGUCCGGGGCGACACACGUGUUACAAUGGUAGGUACAGAGGGCAGCUACCCAGCAAUGGGGUGCGAAUCUCAAAGGCCUAUCUCAGUUCGGAUCGGAGUCUGCAACUCGACUCCGUGAAGCUGGAUUCGCUAGUAAUCGCGCAUCAGCCAUGGCGCGGUG